GGCCUCGUAGCUCAGAGGAUAGAGCAGCGGUUUCCUAAACCGCGUGUCGGGGGUUCGAGUCCCUCCGGGGCCG
rnacentral:tRNA from 1 species